rnacentral:rRNA from 1 species
GUCUAUAUGAAGUUGUAUAUAGUCUAGCCUGCCCCCUGAUUUUUUAAAGGCCGCAGUACCCUGACUGUGCAAAGGUAGCAUAAUAACUAGUUUUUUAAUUGAAAGCUUGAAUGAACGGCUGGACGAAGAAUAAUCUUUCUUUAGUUUUGAUUUAAAAUUUUACUUUUAAGUGAAAAGGCUUAAAUACAUUUGAAAGACGAUAAGACCCUAUAAAACUUUAUAAAAUAGAAUAAUUACUCUAAUUAUUAAGUCUAAACCUUUUAAAUAUUUAAUUUUAUUAUGUUGGGGUAACAAGAAUAAAAAAUUUUCAUUAAACUGUUCUUUUUUAAAAACAAAAAUAUUUGUAUUAAUUUGUUGACCCUUUACUUAAAGAAUAUGAGAUUAAGUUACUUUAGGGAUAACAGCGUAAUUUUUUUAGAGAGUUCUUAUCGAAAAAAGAGUUUACGACCUCGAUGUUGAAUUAAAAUUUCUUUAUAAGUGUAGGAGCUAUAAAAGUAAGUCUGUUCGACUUUUAAAAUUUU